UGGGGAAUAUUGCGCAAUGGGCGGAAGCCUGACGCAGCGACGCCGCGUGCGGGAUGAAGGCCUUCGGGUUGUAAACCGCUUUCAGCAGGGACGAACCUAGACGGUACCUGCAGAAGAAGCGCCGGCUAACUACGUGCCAGCAGCCGCGGUAACACGUAGGGCGCAAGCGUUGUCCGGAAUUAUUGGGCGUAAAGAGCUCGUAGGCGGCCUGUUGCGUCCGCUGUGAAAGCCCGGGGCUUAACCCCGGGUCUGCAGUGGAUACGGGCAGGCUAGAGGUAGGUAGGGGAGAAUGGAAUUCCUGGUGUAGCGGUGAAAUGCGCAGAUAUCAGGAGGAACACCGGUGGCGAAGGCGGUUCUCUGGGCCUUACCUGACGCUGAGGAGCGAAAGCGUGGGGAGCGAACAGGAUUAGAUACCCCGGUAGUCC
rnacentral:rRNA from 1 species